rnacentral:rRNA from 1 species
AACCCGUCUUGAAACACGGACCAAGGAGUUCAACAUGCGCGCUAGUUGUUGGGUCUAACAACCCGCUAGCAAAGUGAAAGCAAGACACAGUUUCACUGUGUAUUGGCGAGAUCCCGUAAGCUCAGCCUUAAGCAAGCUGAGCACGGGCGCACCGCCGGCUCAUCAAUGGCUCGCGUGGCCCUGGUGAAGCUUGAGCGUGCACGUUGAGACCCGAAAGAUGGUGAACUAUGCCUGGGCAGCGCGAAGCCAGGGGAAACUCUGGUGGAGGCGCGUAGCGAUUCUGACGUGCAAAUCGAUCGUCUGACCUGGGUAUAGGGGCGAAAGACUAAUCGAACCAUCUAGUAGCUGGUUCCCUCCGAAGUUUCCCUCAGGAUAGCUGGCACUCGGAGAACGUAGUUUGUCCCGGUAAAGCGAAUGAUUAGAGGUCUUGGGGUCGAAACGGCCUCAACCUAUUCUCAAACUUUAAAUGGGUGAGUGUCUGCCUUGCUUAAAUGCUCAAGCUGAAGUGUAGACGAUGAAUACGAGCGCCUAUUGGGCCACUUUUGGUAAGCAGAACUGGCGCUGUGGGAUGAACCGAACGUCGAUUUAUGGCGCCCGACGAGACGCUCAUGAGAUCCCAGAAAAGGUGUUGGUUGCUAUAGACAGCAGGACGGUGGCCAUGGAAGUCGGAACCCGCUAAGGAGUGUGUAACAACUCACCUGCCGAAGCAACUAGCCCUGAAAAUGGAUGGCGCUAGAGCGUCUGGCCUAUAAUCGACCGUUGCAGCAGCAGCAACGUAAAGUCAAGCUGCAACGAGUAGGAGGGUCGCGGCGGUGGCGUUGAAAGCUUACGGGCGUGAGCCUGGCUGGAGCCGCCGCCGGUGCAGAUCUUGGUGGUAGUAGCAAAUACUCAAGCGAGAACCUUGAGGACUGAAGUGGGGAAGGGUUCCAUGUGAACAGCAGUUGAACAUGGGUCAGUCGAUCCUAAGGUAUCGGCGAAAGCCGUUCAGAAGCGGUGUGGAUAGUGUCCUCGUGGCACUGGUUACUGUGUUGUGUUUACGGUUGAUGCAGUGAUCACCGCACCUACCGAAAGGGAAUCGGGUUAAUAUUUCCGAACUCGGCAUCGGAUAUUGGCUAGCUUCGGGCUUAGCACAUGCGGUAACGCAAAUGAACUUGGUGACGCUGACAAAUGCCCUGGAGGGCGUUGUCUUUUCUUCAUAAGGCGCAGGCUCCCUGGAAUCGGAUCAUCCGGCGAUAGGGAGAUGGCGUCCGUAGAGCAUCGCGGUUCUUGUGAUGUCCGGUGCGCAUUUGUCGGUCCUUGAAAAACCAAGGGAAAGUGUGAUUUUCGUGCCGGAUCGUACCCAUAUCCGCAGCAGUCUCC